ACUCAAAUGAAUAGACGGGGGCCCGCACAAGCAGCGGAGCAUGUGGUUUAAUUCGACGCAACGCGAAGAACCUUACCUGGGCUUGACAUGUGGAUCGCACCCAUGGAAACAUGGGGUCAGUUCGGCUGGAUCUUCACAGGUGGUGCAUGGCUGUCGUCAGCUCGUGUCGUGAGAUGUUGGGUUAAGUCCCGCAACGAGCGCAACCCCCGUCGCAUGUUGCCAGCAUUUAGUUGGGGACUCAUGCGAGACUGCCGGUGACAAACCGGAGGAAGGUGGGGAUGACGUCAAGUCAUCAUGCCCCUUAUGUCCAGGGCUACACACGUGCUACAUUGGCACGUACAGAGGGCUGCGAUACCGCGAGGUGGAGCGAAUCCCUCAAAGCGUGUCUCGGUUCGGAUUGCAGGCUGAAACUCGCCUGCAUGAAGGCGGAGUUGCUAGUAAUCGCGGAUCAGCAUUGCCGCGGUGAAUACGUUCCCGGGCCUUGCACACACCGCCCGU
rnacentral:rRNA from 1 species